UGAAUUAUUUGGUGUUGUGGAGACUAGUUUCUUGAGUUCUUUGUAAGUUUUGGAAGCUUCCCUUUGCAGGAACCAGAGACUAUUACAGAAAUCUACAGGUGGUCAACUUGCAGAGAAAAACUGAUUGCGGUUUGUUCAGUGUCAACUGCUCCCUCCCGAACACCACUUCCGCACCUAAGGCUCAAGGAACAGUGAAGAAUCAGAGAUAGGAAGAUUAUUGAUUUCAGCUCCUGCUAUCCAUGAAGCAAACCUGUGCAAGAGAAAGAAAAUCCUGGAGAGAGAGAGAUGUCCAAGGUCUCAGUUCACAGGGCUACUGGAGAGGUUCUGGGGACCAAACUCUGAGGAAACAAACCUUCCCUGUGGACCCAGGAUGUCACCACAGACCUGGGCUUUUCUUCCCAUCUUAUGCUUCACACACAGCCUGAGGAUGAUGGGGAUCUUGACCAAUGGAUGAAGUCCCUGUCUCCAUCUGUAGUUAGAAGACUUGGAGUCCAAAUUUGCCUAGAGGACCUUUUAUUGUUCUCUCUUGUGGUUUAGCAACAUCCAGAGUUAACCCCUGCCUUCUGCAAGCACCUGCCUCCUGUGUGCUGUGGCCUCACUCUUCUGGUUUUCCCUGGACCACAUUGCUCCUCCUUACUUGCCAUUUCUGGCUUCUUGGCAUCUGUCUGUUUGUUACCAUGCUCCUGGGAAUCUCAGAAGAUCACAUGUGUAAAUGAGGUCAGAUGCUCCCAAUACCUCUGUUCACUCACUCACCCAGCUGUCAUAAGAAACAGCGUCUAGACCAGGCUCUCUUCAGGGGUUACAGUUAGAGCAAAGAGCAAACUCACUAGCUAUGAAGAGACAACAUGGCAAUAAAUGCACAAUGUAUGCAGUACAAAGCAGAGCAAGGGGUAGAGUACUUACGGCAAUGAACACCCUGUGAACCACGAGGCAUGACUGAAAUGUGCCAUCUGAGGGGAAGAGGGACUGUAAAGGUCCACAGAGACAUCUAAAAGACCUGGACCUGCAGCCAAGGGACACAGCAGGGGCAAAGACCUGCAGCAGGAAGGUGGUGUGUGAUUGGAGAGAAGACAGCAAGGUUAAGAACAUCCGGAUUAAAGGUCCCAUGGUAGGGGUUACCAAGACCCAACAGGAAAAACAGGAAGCAGACUGUAAGCUGGUCAGUGUGUUGACUGUAGGUGCAGCCAUACCCCUUCUCUUCUGCGACCACCUUUCCUGCCUCUUCCUCUCCAUUCCAGCUUUAAACCCCACUCCCUAGGAAAUAGCCAACCAUAAUGUAGUUCACUCUGUAUGGAGACAAAGAAGAUGAAGAUUGUAAAAGUUCUGUUCUAUAUACUUGACUCCCUGGAUCUGAGGACCAAUCCCACAGAGAGUGUGCUAGAACAUAAUAAAGGGUGCUUCAUG